GCAUGUGGGAGUGUGAGGUGUGUGUGUCUGAUACCCUGUGUUACUAACUGGUUCCUGUGUUGUGAGGUGUGUGUCUGAUACCCUGUGUUACUAACUGGUUCCUGUGUUGUGAGGUGUGUGUCUGAUACCCUGUGUUACUAACUGGUUCCUGUGUUGUGAGGUGUGUCUCUGAUGGCCUGUGUUACUAACUGGUUCCUGUGUUGUGAGGUGUGUGUGUCUGAUACCCUGUGUUACUAACUGGUUCCUGUGUUGUGAGGUGUGUCUCUGAUGGCCUGUGUUACUAACUGGUUCCUGUGUUGUGAGUUGUGUGUCUGAUACCCUGUGUUACUAACUGGUUCCUGUGUUGUGAGGUGUGUGUCUGAUGGCCUGUGUUACUAACUGGUUCCUGUGUUGUGAGUUGUGUGUCUGAUACCCUGUGUUACUAACUGGUUCCUGUGUUGUGAGGUGUGUGUCUGAUGGCCUGUGUUACUAACUGGUUCCUAUGUUGUGAGGUGUGUCUGAUACCCUGUGUUACUAACUGUUUCCUGUGUUGUGAGGUGUGUGUGUCUGAUGGCCUGUGUUACUAACUGUUUCCUGUGUUGUGAGGUGUGUGUGUCUGAUGGCCUGUGUUACUAACUGGUUCCUGUGUUGUGAGGUGUGUGUCUGAUGGCCUGUGUUACUAACUGGUUCCUGUGUUGUGAGGUGUGUGUGUCUGAUGGCCUGUGUUACUAACUGGUUCCUGUGUUGUGAGGUGUGUGUGUCUGAUGGCCUGUGUUACUAACUGGUUCCUGUGUUGUGAGGUGUGUGUGUCUGAUGGCCUGUGUUACUAACUGGUUCCUGUGUUGUGAGGUGUGUGUGUCUGAUGGCCUGUGUUACUAACUGGUUCCUGUGUUGUGAGGUGUGUGUGUCUGAUGGCCUGUGUUACUAACUGGUUCCUGUGUUGUGAGGUGUGUGUCUGAUGGCCUGUGUUACUAACUGGUUCCUGUGUUGUGAAGUGUGUGUCUGAUACCCUGUGCUACUAACUGGUUCCUGUGUUGUGAGGUGUGUCUGAUACCCUGUGUUACUAACUGGUUCCUGUGUUGUGAGGUGUGUGUGUCUGAUGGCCUGUGUUAGUAACUGGUUCCUGUGUUGUGAGGUGUGUGUCUGAUACCCUGUGUUACUAACUGGUUCCUGUGUUGUGAGGUGUGUGUCUGAUACCCUGUGUUACUAACUGGUUCCUGUGUUGUGAGGUGUGUCUCUGAUGGCCUGUGUUACUAACUGGUUCCUGUGUUGUGAGGUGUGUGUGUCUGAUACCCUGUGUUACUAACUGGUUCCUGUGUUGUGAGGUGUGUCUCUGAUGGCCUGUGUUACUAACUGGUUCCUGUGUUGUGAGUUGUGUGUCUGAUACCCUGUGUUACUAACUGGUUCCUGUGUUGUGAGGUGUGUGUCUGAUGGCCUGUGUUACUAACUGGUUCCUAUGUUGUGAGGUGUGUCUGAUACCCUGUGUUACUAACUGUUUCCUGUGUUGUGAGGUGUGUGUGUCUGAUGGCCUGUGUUACUAACUGUUUCCUGUGUUGUGAGGUGUGUGUGUCUGAUGGCCUGUGUUACUAACUGGUUCCUGUGUUGUGAGGUGUGUGUCUGAUGGCCUGUGUUACUAACUGGUUCCUGUGUUGUGAGGUGUGUGUGUCUGAUGGCCUGUGUUACUAACUGGUUCCUGUGUUGUGAGGUGUGUGUGUCUGAUGGCCUGUGUUACUAACUGGUUCCUGUGUUGUGAGGUGUGUGUGUCUGAUGGCCUGUGUUACUAACUGGUUCCUGUGUUGUGAGGUGUGUGUGUCUGAUGGCCUGUGUUACUAACUGGUUCCUGUGUUGUGAGGUGUGUGUGUCUGAUGGCCUGUGUUACUAACUGGUUCCUGUGUUGUGAGGUGUGUGUGUCUGAUGGCCUGUGUUACUAACUGGUUCCUGUGUUGUGAGGUGUGUGUCUGAUGGCCUGUGUUACUAACUGGUUCCUGUGUUGUGAAGUGUGUGUCUGAUACCCUGUGCUACUAACUGGUUCCUGUGUUGUGAGGUGUGUCUGAUACCCUGUGUUACUAACUGGUUCCUGUGUUGUGAGGUGUGUGUGUCUGAUGGCCUGUGUUACUAACUGGUUCCUUUGUUGUGAGGUGUGUGUCUGAUGGCCUGUGUUACUAACUGGUUCCUGUGUUGUGAGGUGUGUGUCUGAUACCCUGUGUUACUAACUGGUUCCUGUGUUGUGAGGUGUGUGUCUGAUACCCUGUGUUACUAACUGGUUCCUGUGUUGUGAGGUGUGUGUCUGAUACCCUGUGUUACUAACUGGUUCCUGUGUUGUGAGGUGUGUGUCUGAUACCCUGUGUUACUAACUGGUUCCUGUGUUGUGAGGUGUGUGUCUGAUACCCUGUGUUACUAACUGGUUCCUGUGUUGUGAGGUGUGUGUGUCUGAUACCCUGUGUUACUAACUGGUUCCUGUGUUGUGAGGUGUGUGUGUCUGAUACCCUGUGUUACUAACUGGUUCCUGUGUUGUGAGGUGUGUGUGUCUGAUACCCUGUGUUACUAACUGGUUCCUGUGUUGUGAGGUGUG